rnacentral:rRNA from 1 species
GAGGAAUAUUGGUCAAUGGGGGCAACCCUGAACCAGCCAAGUCGCGUGAAGGAUGAAGGUCUUAUGGAUUGUAAACUUCUUUCACACGGGAAUAAAGCGGGGGACGUGUCCCUCUUUGCAUGUACCGUGUGAAUAAGGAUCGGCUAACUCCGUGCCAGCACCCGCGGUAAUACGGAGGAUCCGAGCGUUAUCCGGAUUUAUUGGGUUUAAAGGGUGCGCAGGCGGGAUGUUAAGUCGGGUGUGAAAUUUUGCAGCUCAACUGUAAAAGUGCCUUCGAUACUGGCCUUCUUGAGUGUGGAUGAAGUAGGCGGAAGUUGUGGUGUAGCGGUGAAAUGCUGAGAUAUCACGAGGGACUCCGAUUGCGCAGGCAGCUUACUAAGCCACAACUGACGCUCAUGCACGAAGGCGUGGGGAUCAAA